rnacentral:lncRNA from 10 species
ACCACUCCAGUAGCGGCGGGAGCAGCAGCGUUAGGCCGGGGUGUGGCUGCACCUCUGCGAAGGCUGUCGUGCCCCGUGCAGCUGCGGCGUUCGGGUGGGGGAGGGGAGGCUCACACCCUGCGGCGGCUUAAGCCUGGAUUUACGCACUGGAGGAGGGAAUUAGCCCUGAGAUGUCAGCCCUGUGCCCCUGGCGCUGUCCACCCGGACGCCCGCGGAGCGCCAGGCGCCGCAGCGGACCGCGCGCGCACUGAUUGCCGCAGCUACUCUCCCUGCCGUCGCCGCCCGGGACCGGGUGACAUUGAGGUUUUCGUCUAUCGCCGCUGGGCCGAUAGGGCUUCUUUUUAAGAUUUGGCUUUCCAAGUAAGAUUUUUGUUUGCCUGCUUUUCUCCUGGAAUUUUUUUGUUUUUGGUCGAAGAAGCAGGUAACUUGCAUAUCUUAAGGAAAACAUUGUUUUUGCUUUGCUUUUGUUGUUUAAAGAUCCUAAAACGUACCGUGAUUCCUUUACGUUACUAAUAAUUGGAAAGUGUGUUAAAUCAAGGGUUCGCUUAAUGUUCUUUAGCCUUUGUACAUAGAAUAUAUAAAUGUCGUGAGUCAUCUUUACGAGGUUUAUGA